CUCAGCAUGUGUCUGCAUAUGUGCAUGUGAUGGUUAAUACUGAGUGUCAACUUGAUUGGAUUGAAGGAUGCAAAGUAUUGAGCGUGGGUGUGUCUGUGAGGGUGUUGCCAAAGGAGAUUAACAUUUGAGUUAGUGGACUGGGGAAGGCAGACCCACCUUUAAUCUGGGUGGGCACCAUCUAAUCGGCUGGCAGUGUGGCUAGAAUAUAAAGUAGGCAGAAAAACGUGAAAAGGCUAGACUUGCCCAGCCUCCCAGCCUACAUCUUUCUCUUAUGCCAGAUGCUUCUUGACCUUUAACAUUGGACUCCAAGUUCUUCAGUUUUCGGUCUCAGACUGGAUUUCCUUGCUCCUGAGCUUGCAGACAGCCCACUGUGGGACCUUGUGACCUUGUGAUCAUACAGGGCCUCACUGUGCCAUCCAGGCUGGUGUGCAAUGGCACGAUUUCUGCUCACUGCAACCUCCACCUCGCCAGCUCAAGUGAUCCUCCCACUUCAGCCUACUGAGUAGCUGAGACUACAGGCCUGUGCCACCACACCACGCUAAUUUUUCAUACAUUUUUGUAGAGGCAAGAUAUUGCAAUAUUACCCAGGCAGGUCUGGAAAUCCUGAGCUCAAGUAAUCGGCCCGUCUCAGCCUCCCAAAGUGCUGGAACUACAGGCAUGAGCCACCGCGCCUGGCCUCUGUUUCUUUUUAAUAUUAGUGUUAAUAUAGUAAAAUUUAGGUGAAUCAAUCACUUUUUUCUUAAGAACUGUAUUGAUAUAUUACAUCAUUCUUUACAAAUAAAGACAGCUUUUUUUUCUACUUAAAGAUUUUUGCAUGUCACCAUAAUCAGAGUUCUAUAUAAGUUCCGUUGCAAGAAACAGAAAUAUAAUUGACCCUUCUACAAGGACUGUUCAUUGGCUAAGCCGAUAAGUUUUCAGAAAGUUUCUCGCUAUUGUGAUUUUCAAGAGACAUGGGAAGAUAAAAGAAUGGUAGGGUACAGUAAUGCCUUACACAUAUUCAAAACUUAAUCGAGAAGAUAUGACAUAAAUAAAGGCAGAAAAUGGUGAACUAGUUAUAUGACUGUCUUUAUAAGAAAAACGUAAAUAGAGCCAGGGUGGCUGGAUCCACUUUCUCUUGUUGCCGUAACAUUUGCCUCCAUUCUCACAGUGGCAGCAUCCCCACCAAUGUACUGGUGCCUCUGCAACUUCUCAGUUGCUCUUAUUUCAAAUAUCUGACAUUUAAAAAGAGCACUUAAAAAUAUCAACGCAAAAUGUGAUUUAUAUCUCUGCAGCGAAUCAGAACAACCUCAUAUGUCUCUUGCUCAGGCAAAUGGUCUUGGUUCACUGGUCUUCUAAAAUGAUAUAAAUGAUACCUGUCUUUUCUCUGCUUUGGGGAGGGUGGUUGAAAUUCCAUGCCAAUUUAUACACUGCUGUCAACGCUUCUGCCUUUUAAUGAUAUCUCUU
rnacentral:lncRNA from 1 species